AUUUCAUGACUUCUUUGCUUUUUUGACGAUGGAUCAUCUGAUUGAUAUCAGAAUUAGCAGUUGAUGACGAUUGAGUUGAGUCAGGCUUGUUGUGAGAAUAGACUUAGUUUGCAACUUUGAUACCGCACUAGCUCUGCAGUUGGAUAGUACUUUUUCAAAUGUGAUGUCGUUUUCGCAGAGUAGGCGUUCUUUAAAUUUUUUGUCUCUUAAACCGAUAUCGAACGUGUAUUCCAUAGACUUUAAAGGGAAAGACUCCUGUUAGGUAGAAGACCUUAUAUUUAGUAAGAAGUUGGGAAUUAUGAAACUUUUUCGUACAAAAAAUUACAUUUUAUAAUUGAGACUUGAAAAAGAAACUUUUCGUUUUUCGGAAAGUCGGCUGUACGAGGUUUGUACCCUGGGUCCUUUGAACGUUGAUGGCUGGUCCGUUAAAUUUUUGAAUUAUAAAAGAUUGAAAUCGAUUGCCACACAUUGGACACGCAUGCGUCUUUGUGGUUUUGGGUGGUUCUGGGUGAUUCUGGUAGCUUUUAUUGUACUUUCUGUUUUUUCACAUUUUAGGGAACCAGCCCCAAAUUGUUCUAUGAUACAAAACAUGUUGGCACGAUUUCAUUAAACUAAUUUUGACCCAACAAUUCACAAUUUCAAGCGUCAUUCAAACGUGAUUUGCAUGUGAAGAUUUGUUGACAAAAGCGGUCAAAAAAAAGAUGGAACAAUGAUGAAACUGAAGAGCUUGCUGAUUUGCUUGAUUACCACUUUUUGUUGGAUGUGUUUGAAAUAAGAAUAUAUUCGUUAAAUACAGAUUAUAAAUUGAAAUAAAAAAUACUUGUAAUAGCCUAAUUUGUAAAGUAUUUUUAUAUAAUUCAAAUUGACUUUCGUGGUAAAAAAUCUCACGAUUAGGAAUUGGUCUAGGCUGAAAUGUCUAAAAAUGUGUAAAUUGUUAUCUUUUUCGGUUAACAUAUAUAUAACUGUACAAUUUUUUUUCAUUUGCAAUCAGUUGCUAGUCUAACAACAACAACAACAAUAAUGAUAAAUAUUUAAAGUGUUUCUAGCCCAGAAAAUAACAAAAACCUAUUGUUAGUGGAUUAUUUCCAUUGGGGUCCACUGAGUCUGAGUGAAGCUAGCUUUCUCACAUUUACGUUUAGUUUUAGCAGGCUUCUAAAAACUAAUCAAGACCAACGUUAGAGGUAGCUAAGGUUACAGAUCAGAUGAAUUAUUAUUUUCCUUUUAAAAUUUAAUUUU